rnacentral:lncRNA from 1 species
ACAGGAAAAUGCCUCCAAGCCUCUCCCUCCACGUCAAGCACUGAAAGGAGGCAUCCUGUGUGGCAAGACAAGCCCUGUGGUCACCUGGGAAGGAGCCAUGAGGAAGUUCAGAUUUUAUAAAGGAAGAGGAAGGGUGCCACACGGGGCCUCUGGCCUCUAUUUUAACUCUAGAAGAUCCAGAGUGGCCGAGACAUAACGUUAUCUGGGGGAGAGGCCCCCGUGCU